CUUCGCUAGGGAUUGAACUAAGGGGUGUUUAACACUGAGCCACAUCCCUAGCCCUCUUUACUUUUAUUUUUAUUUAUUUAUUUAUUUUGGUGUCAGGGAUUGAAUCCAGGGGCACUUAACCACUGAGUGACAUCCCUAGUCCUUUUUAAUUUUUUAAAAAUUUUUAUUAUUAUUGUUUAAUAUUUUUAGUUGAAGAAUGAAUACAAUGACUUAAAUUUUUUAUAUGGUGCUGAGGAUGGAACCUAGUGUCUCACACGUGCUAGGCAAGUGCUCUACCACUGAGCCACAAACAGUGACAGCCUCCUUUUUUAUUUUGAGUCAGGGUCUUGCUAAAUUGCUUAGGGCUUUGCUAAAUUGCUGAGGCUGGCUUUGAAUUUGCAAUACUCCUGCCUUAGCCUCCACAGUCACUGGGAUUAUAAGCCUGUACCACCAUGUCCAGCACCCUUUUUAUUUUGAGACAGGGUCUUACUGAGUUGCCCAGCUGAGCUCAAACUUGGUGAUUUUCCUGCCUCAGCCCCAAGUAGCUGGGAUUACAGGUACUACUACAACCAGCAGAAUAAAAUUCCUAAGAAUAAUUUAACAUGAAGCUAGGCAUGGCAUACUAUUGUGUUCAGAUGAAUUUUAGACACUUUGAAGGGAUUAGCUUUAUAGUAUGUGAAUAAAAGUGUUUUUGAACAAAACAAAACAUAAUCAGAGCUGUGCCCCUUACCAAGUAAGACUAGAUUUCAGUCACCACUGUGUACAGUGAAUGCCUUCAGGGUAGGGGGUGUAGCUCAGUGGUAGAACAUAGGCCUAGCAUGCAAGGUCCUGGGUUCAAUCCCCAGUACUGCAAAAAAAAAAAAAAAAAAAAAGUCUGCCUUCAGAACGUGUACCCUCUAAAGCCUCUUUUCACGCUUUUUCCACUGUAUGCUUGUGACCCUAUCACAUUGUCACUGCCACUGAUGUUACUGAUGUCUGAAAUACUUACAUUCAAGUUUAUUUUUAGAGCAAUUUAAGGCAACCAUUAAGAAAUGUGCUAUUAGGGGUUGGGGCUGGAGUUCAGCAGUAGCAUAGUUGCCUCGUGUGAGUAAGGCAUUGAGUUCGAUUCUCAGCACCUCAUGUAAAUAAGUAAAAUAAAGGUCUAUCAACAACUGAAAAAAAAUUAAAAAAAGAAAAAAGGAAAUGUGCUAUUGAACUGGGCGCUGUGGUACCUGUAAUCCCUGUGACUCUGGAGGCUGAGACAGUAGGAUUGAAAGUUCAAGGCCAGUCUCAGCAAUUUAGUGAGGCCCUAAGCAACUUAAUGAGAUCUUGUCUCAAAAUAAAAAGGAAUAGGGAUAUAGCUCAGUGUUAAAAGCCCCUCUGGGUUUAGUCCCAGUACCAGGGGGGGAAAAAAAAAAAAGAAAGAAAUUGCUAUUGAGCCGGGUCCAGUGGCCAUGCCUAUAGUGCCAGCUCCUUGGGAAGCUGAGGAGGAGGAUUGCAAGUUGAAGACCAGCCUCUGAAAUGUAACAAGACCCUGUCAAAAUAAAAUUUAAAGAAAAGGGCUAGGGAUGUUGCUCAGUAGGAGAGUGCUUGCCUAUCAUGUACACAAUUAUGAGGUCCUGGGCUCUGUCCCUGGCAUCAGGAGAAAACAAGAAAUACAGAAAAAUGCAGUCAGUGCCUGAGUUUAGACAUGUGACCAGGAUUGGUUUGGACCAUAAUCCCCAAAGGUACAAUCCCAGAUUGCCAUAACCUGAAAUGUUGAAGUUCAGGAAAGAUCAAAAUCCUUAAAGCCCAAAAUUCAGAAAAUAUAAUUGUGGAAAAAAUAAUUUUAAAAAAAUCAAAAGAGGAGCUGAGGUUGUGGCUCAUAGGUAGAGCACUUGCCCGAGGCACUGGGUUCGAUCCUCAGCACCACAUAAAAAAUAAAAUAAAGGUAUUGUGUCCUCGUGUCCUCCUACAACUAAAAAAUAAAUGUUUAAAAAAAAAUCAAAAGAGCUGGGCACCAUGGCGCAUGCUUAUAUUCUCAGUGACUCUAGAGGCUGAGUCAGGAGGAUCACAAGUUUAAAACUAGCCUUAGCAACUUAGGCCCUAAGCAACUCAUUGAGACCCUGUCUCAAAAUAAAAUAUAAAAAAGGGCUGGGGUUGUGGCUCAGGGGUUAAGCACACUUGGGAUAAAUUCCCAGUUACCCCCCCGCCUUAAAUCAAAAGACAUUUAUUUAUACUUUUAGGGGCUAGGGUUAUAGAACAUGGCUUAGCAUGCCCAUGUUGGAUGGGCAUGAUUGGAUCCUGAUUGGAUUCCUGCCCCCCCCCCCACCAAAAAAAGAGAGAGACAUUUAUUUGCUUUUAUUUUUUUUUUUUUUUUUAACUACACAUGACAUUACAAUGAUCUUGACAAUUCAUACAUUAGAAUCAAUUGGGGUAUAAUUUCUCAUUUUUCUGAUUGUACAGAUUGCAGAAUCACAUUGGACAUACAGUCACCUAUAUACAUACAGCAAUCAUAAUGUCUAUUCUAUUCUGCUGCUCUUUGUAUCACCCCUUCCUAUUUCCUACUGUUGUUUUGCAGUACCAAAUGGCCUGUAUCCACAGCCUCUUUCUUUCAUUUAUUCUUUUAUUUUAUUCUGCCACAGGAUCUUGAUAAGUUUCAUAUGCUGGUCUGGAAUUUUUUUCUACCUAUAUCAGCCUCAUGAUUUACAGUGGUGUGGUACUUCACCCAGUAUUUAAAAAUUUAAAAAGGGAUAUGUGAGCCAGGUGUGGUGGCAUAUGCUUGUAGUCCCAGCUACUUGUGAAGCUGAGAUAUGAGGAUCACGUGAGUCUACAAGUUUCAGACCAGCCUGGGCAACAUGAUUCCGUGUCUCAAAAGUAAACACAAACAGGGCUGGGGUUGUGGCUCAGUGGUAGAGUGCUCGCCUAGCAUGCAUGAGGCACUGGGCUCGAUCCUCAGCACCACAUAAAAAUAAAAAAUAAAGAUAUUGUGUCCACCUAAAACUAAAAAAAAA
rnacentral:lncRNA from 1 species